rnacentral:SRP_RNA from 1 species
GCCGGGCAUGGUGGUGCGUGCCUGUAAUCCCAGCUACUCGGGAGGCUGAGGCAGGAGAAUUGCUUGAAUUCAGGAGGCAGAGGUUGCAGUGAGCCGAGAUCGCGCCACUGCACUCCAGCCUGGGCGACAGAGUGAGACUCUGUCUCAA